rnacentral:rRNA from 1 species
UACGUAGGGUCCGAGCGUUGUCCGGAAUUACUGGGCGUAAAGGGCUCGUAGGCGGCCAACUAAGUCGGAUGUGAAAUCCCCAGGCUCAACUUGGGAACUGCGUCUGAUACUGGAUGGCUUGAAUUCGGGAGAGGGAUGCAGAAUUCCAGGUGUAGCGGUGAAAUGCGUAGAUAUCUGGAGGAAUACCGGUGGCGAAGGCGGCAUCCUGGACCGAGAUUGACACUGAUGAGCGAAAGCUAGGGGAGCAAACGGG